AGAGCGAACGCUGGCGGCAGGCCUAACACAUGCAAGUCGAGCGCCCGUAGCAAUACGGGAGCGGCAGACGGGAUAGUAACACGUGGGAACGCGCCCUUCGGUUCGGAAUAACUCAGGGAAACUUGAGCUAAUACCGGAUACGCCCUUACGGGGAAAGAUUUAUUGCCGAAGGAACGGCCCGCGUCCGAUUAGCUAGUUGGUGAGGUAAUGGCUCACCAAGGCGACGAUCGGUAGCUGGUCUGAGAGGAUGACCAGCAUCACUGGGACUGAGACACGGCCCAGACUCCUACGGGAGGCAGCAGUGGGGAAUAUUGGACAAUGGGCGCAAGCCUGAUCCAGCCAUGCCGCGUGGAUGAUGAAGGCCUUAGGGUUGUAAAGUCCUUUUAACGAGGAAGAUAAUGACGGUACCCGUAGAAUAAGCCCCGGCUAACUUCGCGCCAGCAGCCGC
rnacentral:rRNA from 1 species